AUAAGGCUACGUUGUACGUACGAAUAUUAAGUUUUAACCUUUAUACUUAUACAGGGAGUUUUACAUCGAUGUUGGAAUGGCGUGCCUGGACUCUUUUGACUUCAGGAUAGACAGGAUAGCAUUUGCGAACACCCACUUUGAGGAGUGGUGGUUUAAAACUUUCUAUAAUAACUACGGCAAUGUGGCUGCUUA
rfam:Solibacillus silvestris StLB046 DNA, complete genome.